AGAGUUUGAUCUUGGCUCAAGAUGAACGUUGGCGACAUGCUUAACACAUGCAAGUCGAAUGGGAAGUGGUGUUUCCAGUGGUAGACGAGUCAGUAAUGCGUAAGAACCUGCCCUUAGAAGGGGAACAACAGUUGGAAAUGGCUGCUAAUACCCCGUAGGCUGAGGAGCAAAAGGAGGAAUCCAUCCAAAGAGGGGCUCGCGUUUGGUUAGCUAGUUUGUGAGGCAAUAUCUUACCAAGGCGAUGAUCAACAGCUGGUCCAAGCGGAUGAUCAGCCACACUAGGACUGAGACACGGCCCAGACUCCUGUGGGAGGUAGUAGUGGGGAAUUUUUCGCAAUGGGCAAAAGCCUGACGGAGCAAUGUCACGUAGAGGUAAAAGGACCACGGGUCGUGAACUUUUUUUCUCAGAGAAGAAGCAAUGACGGUAUUUAGGGAAUAAGUACCGACUAACUCUCUGCCAGCAGUCGCAGUAAUACAGAGGAUGCAAGCGUUAUCAGGAAUGAUUUGGUGUAAAGCGUUUGUAGGUGGCUUUUUAAGUCCAUCGUCAAAUCCCAAGGCUCAACUCUGGACAGGUAGUGAAAACUACCAAGCUAAAGUACGGUAAAGGUAGAGGUAAUUUUCAAUAGAGCGGUAAAAUACGUAGAGAUCGGGAAGAAAACCAACGAUGAAAGCACUCUACUGGGCCGACAUUGACACUGAGAGAUGAAAGCUAGGGCAGUGAAUAGGAUUAGAUACCCUAGUAGUCCUAGUUGUAAACGAUUGAUAUUAGGCAUCGUGCGUAUCGACCCGUGCAGUGCUGUAGCUAACGCGUUUAGUAUCCCGCUUGGGGAGUAGGUUCGCAAGAAUGAAACUCAAAGGAAUUGACGGGGGCCCAUAUAAGCAGUGGAGCAUGUGGUUUAAUACGAUGCAAAGCGAAUAACCUUACCAAGGCUUGACAUGCCAUGAAUCUUGAAAGAGAGGGGUUCCUUUGGGAAUGUGAACACAGGUGGUUCAUGGCUGUCGUCAGCUCGUGCCGUAAGGUGUUAGAAUCCUCCUACUUAUAAUUUGGGUCUCAUGUUGCUUUUUGAGGAUUACUGUGCCAUUUUCCUCUUCGACCCGUAAGCAGUAGGAGCUUCUACUUCUGAUUUUGGAGAUGCUGCCUCCCCUGAACUCAAAAGUACCCUUUUGGCUUCCGAAGAUGGUACGUCAUCAAAAGGAUUCUCCUCUUGUCCUACUACGAAUUGGAUUGAUAGUACCAAAGCCAAUGAGAACACAACCAAAGAAACCUUCGCCAUCUUUUUUAUUUUCUUAAAAGGUUAAGAAAAAUGUAAAGGUAUAUUUUUAUUAAUGCUUAAGGAUGAAACUUUGACG
rnacentral:rRNA from 1 species